AAUCAGUUUUCACAUGAACUGCAUGUUGUGUUUAAUCUUUUGAAAAUAUUUACAAGAAUUUUCUUGCCACAUUUGGGGGAUAUUUAAAAAUAAAACUUUUCAGGAAUUGGAAUUUUCUUCCUGAAGGUUUUGCAAAGUUUCAGAAAUUUGGAGAAUUUUUUUGCAGAAUUUUGGGAUUUUUUUUUUUCCACACAAUGAAGCAAUAUGUUUUUAGUAAAUAAGACAACAGGAGGGUUAAGGGAGCUGCUUGUGUUUCUUCAUGCACACGUCAGCCGUAACACACUCCAUUAUUAAAACAAACACACUGGGUUGUGUUCAGUUCAGUGUUAAUACUUUAUAAGCAGCGGUGACAUCAUCAAGGUGAGACCAGCGCCUCCCUCCACUUCCUCCACAUGGCUGAUUCUUCACGCUCUCAGUGAGAUUCUUUCCGCUUGGACUGAUUUCCAGCUUGUGUUGCUGCUGUUUCCAGCCAGUCGGAGUGUUUUUUCGGUCCUGUGGGUGGCCCGGCUGGCUCUGAAUAUCCUCCCACUGUUUGGGGUUUGUGGGUCAGCGUCUACAACAACAACACUCCGACUCUCCGAGGAGCAGAAUCAGCUGAAUGUUUCCCCAGUCUGAGGGCUUCCAUCCCGCUGAGCCUCAUCUCUGAAGCUCCUCAUGCUUUAAAACAACCACUGAUCACUUACAGGGUGACACAGCGUCCGGGCUGAAGAAUCUGUACAGGAAGAAGAAAAUGAGGACCAAAGGCUUCCAAAGCAUCUUUUCCUCUAAAUAAAAUCACGUCUCUGUUUAGUUCAGCCUCGACCCGGCUGCCCUCGCUGCACAUUUUACUGCAGUUUGUGCAGACAUCUGACCAGUUUCUAUAAAAUAAACCAAACACACGCCUGUGCUCAGCGCAGGUCAUUUA